AGAGUUUGAUCCUGGCUCAGGAUGAACGCUGGCGGCAUGCCUAAUACAUGCAAGUCGAACGAGAGGAAGGAAAGCUUGCUUUUCUGAAUCUAGUGGCGAACGGGUGAGUAACACGUAGGUAACCUGCCCAUGUGCCCGGGAUAACUUCUGGAAACGGAUGCUAAAACCGGAUAGGUAGCAGACAAGCAUUUGACUGCUAUUAAAGUGGCUUUGGCCAUGAACAUGGAUGGACCUGCGGUGCAUUAGCUGGUUGGUGAGGUAACGGCCCACCAAGGCGACGAUGCAUAGCCGGCCUGAGAGGGCGGACGGCCACAUUGGGACUGAGACACGGCCCAAACUCCUACGGGAGGCAGCAGUAGGGAAUUUUCGUCAAUGGGGGGAACCCUGAACGAGCAAUGCCGCGUGAGUGAGGAAGGUCUUCGGAUCGUAAGCUCUGUUGUAAGAGAAAAACGGCACUCAUAGGGAAUGAUGAGUGAGUGAUGGUAUCUUACCAGAAAGUCACGGCUAACUACGUGCCAGCAGCCGCGGUAAUACGUAGGUGGCGAGCGUUAUCCGGAAUGAUUGGGCGUAAAGGGUGCGUAGGUGGCAGAUCAAGUCUGGAGUAAAAGGUAUGGGCUCAACCCGUACUGGCUCUGGAAACUGAUCAGCUAGAGAACAGAAGAGGACGGCGGAACUCCAUGUGUAGCGGUAAAAUGCGUAGAUAUAUGGAAGAACACCGGUGGCGAAGGCGGCCGUCUGGUCUGGAUUCUGACACUGAAGCACGAAAGCGUGGGGAGCAAAUAGGAUUAGAUACCCUAGUAGUCCACGCCGUAAACGAUGAGAACUAGGUGUUGGGGGAAUAACUCAGUGCCGCAGUUAACGCAGUAAGUUCUCCGCCUGGGGAGUAUGCACGCAAGUGUGAAACUCAAAGGAAUUGACGGGGGCCCGCACAAGCGGUGGAGUAUGUGGUUUAAUUCGAAGCAACGCGAAGAACCUUACCAAGUCUUGACAUCCCUCUGACCGGAACUUAACCGUUCCUUCCCUUCGGGGCAGAGGAGACAGGUGGUGCAUGGUUGUCGUCAGCUCGUGUCGUGAGAUGUUGGGUUAAGUCCCGCAACGAGCGCAACCCCUAUCCCCAGUAGCCAGCAUUUAAGGUGGGCACUCUGAGGAGACUGCCAGGGAUAACCUGGAGGAAGGCGGGGAUGACGUCAAAUCAUCAUGCCCCUUAUGAUUUGGGCUACACACGUGCUACAAUGGCGUAAACAAAGGGAAGCGAACCCGCGAGGGUGGGCAAAUCCCAAAAAUAACGUCCCAGUUCGGACUGUAGUCUGCAACCCGACUACACGAAGCUGGAAUCGCUAGUAAUCGCGGAUCAGAAUGCCGCGGUGAAUACGUUCCCGGGUCUUGUACACACCGCCCGUCACACCAUGGGAGUCAGUAACGCCCGAAGUCAGUGACCUAACCGUAAGGAGGGAGCUGCCGAAGGCGGGACCGAUGACUGGGGUGAAGUCGGAACAAGGUA
rnacentral:rRNA from 1 species